UCACUAGUGGCUCAGUGGUUAAGAAUCUGCUUGUAAAGCAGGAGGCUCAGGUUUGAUCCCUGGGUUGGGAA
rnacentral:tRNA from 1 species